rnacentral:rRNA from 1 species
AACGAACGCUGGCGGCAUGCCUAACACAUGCAAGUCGAACGAAGCCUUCGGGCUUAGUGGCGCACGGGUGCGUAACGCGUGGGAAUCUGCCCUUUGGUUCGGAAUAACAGUUGGAAACGACUGCUAAUACCGGAUGAUGACGAAAGUCCAAAGAUUUAUCGCCAGAGGAUGAGCCCGCGUAGGAUUAGCUAGUUGGUGUGGUAAAGGCUCACCAAGGCGACGAUCCUUAGCUGGUCUGAGAGGAUGAUCAGCCACACUGUUACUGAGACACGGCCCAGGUUCCUACGGGAGGCAGCAGUGGGGAAUAUUGGACAAUGGGCGAAAGCCUGAUCCAGCAAUGCCGCGUGAAUGAUGAAGGCCCUAGGGAUGUAAAGCUCGUUUACCGGGGAUGAUAAUGACAGUACCGGGAGAAUAAGCCCCGGCUAACUCCGUGCCAGACGCCGCAGUAA